UGCAAGUCGAGCGAGAAAGCCCUUCGGGGUGAGUAGAGCGGCGCACGGGUGAGUAACGCGUGGGAACGUACCUUGUAGUACGGAAUAGCCUCGGGAAACUGGGAUUAAUACCGUAUACGCCCUUCGGGGGAAAGAUUUAUCGCUAUAAGAUCGGCCCGCGUGACAUUUAGUUUUGGUGAGGUAAUGGCUCACCAAGACUACGAUCAUUAGCUGGUCUGAGAGGACGAUCAGCCACACUGGAACUGAGACACGGUCCAGACUCCUACGGGAGGCAGCAGUGAGGAAUAUUGCACAAUGGGGGAAACCCUGAUGCAGCCAUGCCGCGUGUGUGAUGAAGGCCCUAGGGUUGUAAAGCACUUUCAAUGGUGAAGAUAAUGACGGUAACUAUAGAAGAAGCCCCGGCUAAAUUCGCGCCAGCAGCCGCGGUAAUACGAAUGGGGCAAGCGUUGUUCGGAAUAACUGGGCUUAAAGCGUGCGCAGGCGGAUAUGAAAGUCAGAAGCGAAAUUCCAGGGCUCAACCCUGGAACUGCAUUUGAAACUGGAAGUCUAGAGUCCCGGAGAGGUUAGGGGAAUUCCGAGUGUAGCACUGAAAUGCGCAGAUAUUCGGAGGAACACCAGUGGCGUAGGCGCCUAACUGGACGGGAACUAACGCUGAGGUACGAAAGCGUGGGGAGCAAACAGGAUUAGAUACCCUGGUAGUCCACGCCGUAAACGAUGUAUGCUAGUUGUUGGAAUCCAUAGGGUUUCAGCGCAGAUAACGCGAUAAGCAUACCGCCUGGGGAGUGCGAUCGCAAGAUUAAAACUCAAAGGAAUUGACGGGGACCCGCACAAGCGGUGGAGCAUGUUGUUUAAUUCGAAGCAACGCGAAGAACCUUACCUACACUUGACAUACUCGUCGGGAUUUCCAGAGAUGGAUUUUUUCGGUUCGGCCGGACGAGAUACAGGUGCUCACGGCUGUCGUCAGCUCGUGUCGUGAGAUGUUGGGUUAAGUCCCGCAACGAGCGCAACCCUCAUCCUUAGUUGCUAACAUUUAGUUGAGAACUCUAAGGAAACCGCCGGUGUUAAACCGGAGGAAGGUGAGGACGACGUCAAGUCAUCAUGCCCCUUACGGGCUGGGCUACACACGUGCUACAAUGGCAGUGACAAUGGGUUAAUCCAUAAAAACUGUCUCAGUUCGGAUUGUCGGCUGCAACUCGCCGGCAUGAAGUUGGAAUCGCUAGUAAUCGUAGGUCAGCAUACUACGGUGAAUACGUUCCCGGGUCUUGUACACACCGCCCGUCACACCAUGGGAGUUGUUUCUACCUUAAGCUGGUGAGCCAAUCAGG
rnacentral:rRNA from 1 species